UACGAAGGGUGCUAGCGUUGUUCGGAAUUACUGGGCGUAAAGCGCGCGUAGGCGGUUAUACAAGUCAGGGGUGAAAUCCUGGAGCUCAACUCCAGAACUGCCUUUGAUACUGAAGAUCUUGAGUUCGGGAGAGGUGAGUGGAACUGCGAGUGUAGAGGUGAAAUUCGUAGAUAUUCGCAAGAACACCAGUGGCGAAGGCGGCUCACUGGCCCGAUACUGACGCUGAGGCACGAAAGCGUGGGAGCAAACAGGG
rnacentral:rRNA from 1 species